rnacentral:rRNA from 1 species
CGCGUAGGCGGUCUCUUAAGUCAGGUGUGAAAGCCCGGGGCUCAACCCCGGAAGUGCACUUGAAAACUAAAGGGACUUGAGUAUGGGAGAGGGAAGUGGAAUUCCUGGUGUAGCGGUGAAAUGCGUAGAUAUCAGGAGGAACACCGGUGGCGAAGGCGACUUCCUGGACCAAUACUGACGCUGAGGCGCGAAGGCGUGGGGAGCAAACA